CAUGAGUGGUUGACUUCAUGCAGACAUGCGCAGACAUUGAAGUACCGCGAGAGUGAUUCAAAAGCCCACGAAACAGUGUAAUCACGCGGUACUGUGAUGUCAUACUGGUUAACGCUAAGCCACGUGAAGCCGGACACAAGGGCUACACUAAUCUUUGGGCUGGAGUAGCCUGUGGUUUUUAAGGCUUCGUGUCUCAUCGCGUUAAACGAUCGCAGAACGAUUUAUUUCUCUUUUUCACCUCGAUCUUUGGCCUCGUGUGAUUUACCAAAACCAACAUGUGAAGUUACAACGCUGACGAAGGAGUUUCAUCAGUAGAGUGUGUCCUGGUAAACGUGUGCUCGGAAACAUGCAGAUUACAGUAUUUACAGAGCCGACCUUGAGUCACCCACUGAUGGAUAAUCUGUUUACCUAAAAACAGCCCACCACAAUCCAUGUUUACCAGCUGUGAAAGUGCAGGCCAAAAAUCUUCCUUCACCUGUGGGCCUCUACCCACAUGUAGAUAAGCACUUCAGGAGAAACCUGCCUGUGAUCUGCUAAGAUGCACAGAUUCAACUCUGGCCCAUUGUCAUCCCAACACCUCAUCUGCCAUCAGUUUCGUUUAGUGUCGGUCUAUUGCAAAAGUUCUUAUAAACUUUAAAUGAGACUUUGUGUUAAGCAGGGGUUUCCAAACUUUUCAUUCCACAACAUAUUAAGCCCAGGAUACACAGCAGGAUUUUUGCAAUCCAAUAAGACCUUAUCACACUGUGUGACAAGGAUUGUUUAAACUUCAGCAGUAGACUGUCGAUGAAGACACCUAUUGCAUCUGAAGCUGCGACAUCUGUCAUCAACAUGCGCUAGUGGUAAACAAAUACAGGUAUGCAGGUCGUAGAAGCAAACACAUUAUUGAUGUGCGAUGAUCAUGCUGAACUUCUUACACUGUCAUAAAACUAUCGUAGGUGUCUUUGGUCCCAGGACUGGGAAAACAGACGUCUUUAAACCUCUCACACUGUAUGAGAUAGGACCACCAAUUAAGAGCCACGAUCACAGAAAUCUCCACGAUUGUUUCACGAUUGGUAAUCUUUCAUCUGGGACAGCCAAAAAUCGUGCCGUGUAUUAUGGGCUUUAGACAGGUGUAAUCUUAUAGUAUAUCAAAACCAUUGCUAAUAAUUAAUUGGACAAACCAUCAUUACAAUGCAACACUCACUAUCUUACGGUGCGACCCACAAGUGGGUCUUCACCCACAGUUUAAAAACCCUGAGUAUGAGAAAGAGUAUGUUGUAUUGUAAUUAAAGUCACAUCUAAGUGUUAUGGAACAGUUUGUCAUUAUAUUCACAGUAUUACAUGGUUCUUUCAGCAGUUACUACGUUACAGUGCUCUUAAAGUGUCCUGAUCAGCUUUGGGUCUUGUGAAGUAAUGUAAUGAGAACGUGAUCAAUAGCUUUGCAGUAUUUUGUUACACUGUGGCUGUAAUCAUAUUAACACAUAGGUUAAACAUUUUAUUCAAAUUUGGUAAACAAAGUAGUCAAUAUAAUUCAUGCUGUGAUGCUGGAUUAAACCUGGUCAAAUGAUUGUGUAUUGUGUUUUCAAUUUUUUAUGAGGUUUCUUCAUCUAUAUAAACAUUCUCAAUAUCACCUUUGGUUUGCUCAGAGUUUGUUCAGAUGAUUUUUAAAACUAAAUGUUGUGAAAAUGCAAGGUGUGUUACACAAUUUCAAUGGAUGGCGUGGGGUCAAAAACUAUCAAAAGUUUCAACCUUAGAUAUAUAACUGUUGACAAACACACUUAAUGUGAGUCACACCCAGUAAUUAUAAUAAGCAGGAAUUGCAGUAAGCAGGGUCACCUUAAGAUAAUCAGCUUGUUGGCAAUUGUUUUAUUUAAU